rnacentral:tRNA from 1 species
GCGUUGGUGGUUCAGUGGUAGAAUUCUCGCCUACCACGCGGGAGACCGCGGUUCGAUUCCCCGCCAACGCA